GGGUAUUUGGCCGAGUCUGGUUUAUGGCACUCGUCUUGAAAACGAGAACUUCUACUGAAGUCGUGAGUUCAAAUCUCACAGUGCCCG
rnacentral:tRNA from 2 species